rnacentral:rRNA from 1 species
GACGAACGCUGGCGGCGUGCUUAACACAUGCGAGUCGAACGGAAAGGCCCUGCUUUUGUGGGGUGCUCGAGUGGCGAACGGGUGAGUAACACGUGAGUAACCUGCCCUUGACUUUGGGAUAACUUCAGGAAACUGGGGCUAAUACCGGAUAGGAGCUCCUGCUGCAUGGUGGGGGUUGGAAAGUUUCGGCGGUUGGGGAUGGACUCGCGGCUUAUCAGCUUGUUGGUGGGGUAGUGGCUUACCAAGGCUUUGACGGGUAGCCGGCCUGAGAGGGUGACCGGCAACAUUGGGACUGAGGUAGGGCUCAGACUCCUACGGGAGGCAGCAGUGGGGAAUAUUGCACAAUGAGCGGAAGCCGGAUGCAGCAACGCCGCGUGCGGGAUGACGGCAUUCGGGUUGUGAACCGCUUUCGCCUGUGACGAAGCGUGAGUGACGGUAAUGGGUAAAGAAGCACCGGCUAACUACGUG